rnacentral:lncRNA from 1 species
AGUUCUAGAGGGGACAGCGCCCUCUGUCCUCCUGGCCGUUUUCCUGAACUCCUAACCUCAGUCAAUACUGCCUCGGGACCUGGCGCUGCCUGGGAGAUCCAGAAGAAAGGAAGCAUCUUGGCCCCUGCCUUGGGGGCGACACGACCGUCCCCAAACACAGCGAGUCACUGGCCUGGGUCUUUGUGCAGAGGCCCCUCUAGGAGCGGGGAACCAACGAUGGCACGAACAUUGAUUUGAGGAGGAUGCUUCGCAGUUUACGAAAAAAUGAGUGCUAGAGGCGUUCAGAAACGGGAAAGAUCACUUUGUGCUCCUGUGAUCUGAAGGCUGCGUGAAGAAGAUGAGGCUUGGAAAAUAGACUUCCAAGUGCUGGCCUUCAUCUCCCCGCAAGAUGCGCCCCCUCCAACUCUCAGCCUUCAUCUUCCUACUGUCACUGUCUCCUUCACAAGGAGAGCAGCAAGAGAAAGAAAGAGAGAGGCAAGCGAAAUUCCUGAAUGGAUAGACAGAUGCUACGUCAUCGGAGCUGCAUCCUCCACUCCACAAGAGGCUAGGAGCUGGGGGGAGAGAGGCAGUCCAGCCGCAGGGGCCACCCGAACAGUCUCUCCUCCUCACAGAAGCCUGGAGCUGGGCAUCCAAGAAGAAGCAGCCUCAUUUGUUUUCUGGUGUCAUCGUAGGUGGCCACCUAUGGCUUUUGGGUGCAUUUGACCUACCUCAGGAUAUCCAAAGGAGAACAGAGGGAAGUGAGGGGUUGAGAACUGACACCCUACAACGCCAGCACCUCAGUGGAAAGGAGGAAUAGAGCCCAGGAGGGAUGUGGGGAAUGUAAAAAGGGCAGCUCUCUGGCAUGUUCCUGACUGAGGAUCUCAUAACAUUUAACUUGAGGAACUUCCUCCUUUUCCAGCUUUGGGAGUCAAGCCUUCAUCUCCUCGUCCUCCAGGCAGCACAAGCCAUUGUGGAAUCUCCACCAGGUGUACAGAACGGUGCCUCUGCGUCCUGCCACUCAGGACCUCUCAAGUCCCCGAUGUGAUGGCUCCUCAGCAUGAUCAGGAACCAAAAAGAAGAAUGUACUUCAUCUGGUUGGGCUGGAUUCCCUCUGAUAAGCCUUCCCAGUUGACUGAAAGAUGAGGCUAGGCUCUAGCAAGUUGAAGUCAAACCAGCUCCUUCAAGAAGCUUUGAGCAGAAUGAAGUGGGGAGGACCCAGCUUCCAGCCCAGGAAGCCCACUGUACCUGGAGCCAUCUGGGAUAAGACUUUGACCCAUGACUCCCAUAUCCACAGCCUGUCCAUCCUAGCCCAUCCCAGUUUAUCCUGUAUCAUUUGAGCUGGGAUUCCCACAUCCUCUGAGUUGGAAGUCCCAUCUCAAGUCUUCAAUAAAGACUCUUGAAUAUUGAAUCACAUUA